CCUACGGGAGGCAGCAGUGAGGAAUAUUGGUCAAUGGGCGAGAGCCUGAACCAGCCAAGUCGCGUGAAGGAUGAAGGACCUAUGGUUUGUAAACUUCUUUUAUAUGGGAAUAAAGUGAGGCACGUGUUCCUUUUUGUAUGUACCUUAUGAAUAAGCAUCGGCUAACUCCGUGCCAGCAGCCGCGGUAAUACGGAGGAUGCGAGCGUUAUCCGGAUUUAUUGGGUUUAAAGGGUGCGUAGGUGGUUAAUUAAGUCAGCGGUGAAAGUUUGUGGCUCAAACAUAAAAUUGCCGUUGAAACUGGUUGUCUUGAGUAUAUUUGAGGUAGGCGGAAUGCGUGGUGUAGCGGUGAAAUGCAUAGAUAUCACGCAGAACUCCGAUUGCGAAGGCAGCUUACUAAACUAUAACUGACACUGAAGCACGAAAGCGUGGGUAUCAAACAGGAUUAGAUACCCCAGUAGUC
rnacentral:rRNA from 1 species